rnacentral:rRNA from 1 species
CCCUGCCCUUUGUACACACCGCCCGUCGCUACUACCGAUUGAAUGGCUUAGUGAGUCCUUCGGAUUGACGCCUAGAAGCUGGCAACAGCAUCCGGGUGAUGAGAAGUUGGGCAAACUUGGUCAUUUAGAGG